rnacentral:rRNA from 1 species
UACACUCCUGCGGGAGGCAGCAGUGGGGAAUUUUGGACAAUGGGCGAAAGCCUGAUCCAGCAAUGCCGCGUGCAGGAUGAAGGCCUUCGGGUUGUAAACUGCUUUUGUACGGAACGAAAAAGCUCCUUCUAAUACAGGGGGCCCAUGACGGUACCGUAAGAAUAAGCACCGGCUAACUACGUGCCAGCAGCCGCGGUAAUACGUAGGGUGCGAGCGUUAAUCGGAAUUACUGGGCGUAAAGCGUGCGCAGGCGGUUAUGUAAGACAGAUGUGAAAUCCCCGGGCUCAACCUGGGAACUGCAUUUUUGACUGCAUGGCUAGAGUACGGUAGAGGGGGAUGGAAUUCCGCGUGUAGCAGUGAAAUGCGUAGAUAUGCGGAGGAACACCGAUGGCGAAGGCAAUCCCCUGGACCUGUACUGACGCUCAUGCACGAAAGCGUGGGGAGCAAACAGGAUUAGAAACCCGAGUAGUCC